rnacentral:rRNA from 1 species
UACGGGGGGGGCAAGCGUUGUUCGGAAUUACUGGGCGUAAAGGGCGCGUCGGCGGCCUUCUAAGUCAGACGUGAAAUCCCCCGGCUUAACCUGGGAACUGCGUCUGAUACUGGGAGGCUAGAGUAUGGGAGAGGGAUGUAGAAUUCCAGGUGUAGCGGUGAAAUGCGUAGAUAUCUGGAGGAAUACCGGUGGCGAAGGCGGCAUCCUGGACCAUUACUGACGCUGAGGCGCGAAAGCUAGGGGAGCAAACGGG